CCUCUACUCAGUCAGUCUGCAUUUCUAGCUGUUAGUUCCUGCAUAGAUGUUGUUAUCCUGUUGUGCCUGUUUUCCCUAGCCUCACACUGCUUUUUCUCUCUGCUACAGUCCCAUCUGCUCUGACUCUGAUGCCUGUCUCCAGUCCCUCAUCUCCUCAGUCCUGCCUCCCUGCCCUGGAUCCCCACUCUACUGCUUCAUUGGAUUCUGCUCCAGACCUGCUUAUCUGGUUCCUAAUCUCCUUUUCCCCAGCCUCAGUCCGGAUUCCCUACUACCCACCCGAGAUUCCCCUGGACUGCACCCCAUCUCCUCUCCCGCUUUUCAGUAAAUACAUAGGUUACCUAUCCUUGUCUCCUCGUCUGAUUUUGCAUUUGGGUUCACCUGCUCCACCCUGCGUAACAGUACGAACGGGCUAGUGAUAUGAACCCAGCAGGCUUAGAUCCUCUCCACCAAACCCUCGCCGGCCAAGGCGCCCUGCUCGAGCAACAUGACCAAGCCUUGAACCCAUCUGGAGCACAUCAAUACGUUUCACGGAGCCUUUCUGACCUACAGGGCCGAACUUUCGCCCCGAGAUCACAACCAGUCCCAAGUCCUUCUCCUUUGUCCCGUGAGCUGUUUGUUCCGACUUCCGAGUGUUACGAUGGCAACCUCAGAGCUUGCAGAGCCUUUUUGUCCCAUCUGCUGUGACUCUGGUACCCUUCUCCUCAGUCCUGCUUCCCUGCCCUGGAUCCUCACUCUAGUGCUUCAUUGGAUUCCUCUCCAUACCUGCUUACCCGGUUCCUAAUCUCCUUGCCCUCAGUCUGGAUUCCCUACUACCUGCCCGAGAUUCCCCUGGACUGCACCCCAUCUCCUCUUCUGCUUUUCAAUAAAUACAUUGGUUACCUA